UGAGGAAUAUUGCGCAAUGGCCGAAAGGCUGACGCAGCAACGCCGCGUGAGGGAUGAAGUUCUUCGGAAUGUAAACCUCUGUUAGAGGGGACGAAUGAGGGAGAGACCAAUAGACUCUCUCUUUGACGGUACCUUCAGAGAAAGCCCCGGCUAACUCCGUGCCAGCAGCCGCGGUAACACGGGGGGGGCAAGCGUUGUCCGGAAUUAUUGGGCGUAAAGGGCGCGUAGGUGGGAAAGCAAGUCUGGGGUGCAAACUUGUGGCUUAACUGCAAGCUUGACCUGGAUACUACUGUUCUUGAAUUCGGGAGAGGGAAACGGAAUUCCUGGUGUAGCGGCGAAAUGCGUAGAUAUCGGGAGGAACACCAGUGGCGAAGGCGGUUUCCUGGCCUGAUACUGACGCUGAGGCGCGAAAGCGUGGGGAGCAAACAG
rnacentral:rRNA from 1 species